GUCCUGUCUCUGUCGGCAUCUGCCAGGCCCCAGUGCCUCCAACUGGGAAAUGGGGAAAGUGACCUUGGUCCUCCUUUCCUGGUGGUCAGUGGAGAAGGCUGGGGGCAUACCCGCAAUUGGUCUUUGCAGGCCCGUGAAGUCUGGGGUCCCGGGCUCCCGGCACUGUCCUGUGCUGUGGGUCAGGCGUGCCCCCUGCUCAGUUGGUUGGGUCCAGGCACCCCGCCCACCACGCCUUUCCCCCAGUUCCUCAGGCUCCUCUUGGUGACGCAGGCAGCCCAGGGCUGGCUCAGCUGGGGUUGUUCUUGGCUGACGUGGACAUGCCCGUUUCUGGGCCAGGCCUGGCUCCCAGACCCCUUUCCCCUGCCUGCUGUCCUCAAGGGUCCCCUCCCUCGUUCACGUGGGCUUUGCCUGCGAGCUGGUUCUCCCUAUGCUUCUAGUCAGGGUGCCAGCCUCCUGGAUUCGUGCUGGUUCUUGACCUUGGUCUCUGUGCCUCUGCUCCAGACCCAGGCUGAGGACAGAGCUCAGGGGGUGGAAAGUAGCUCCAGGCUACCUUGCCUGCACCUGGCCACCUCACCCGCACUUGGCCCUCCCGAGGAGAGGCUGCGUUCUGCUGCCACGUCUAGGACACUCAGUGGGGAGAGACGCCCAGGGGCCACCCCCUCUGUAGCGUGGUGGAGCCUUCCUGCUGGGGUGUGGCUGAAGGGCCUGUUCCAUCUGGAGCUGCGUGUGGCUGGUGAAGAACAGGUGUUACAGCCCAUGGGGGAUCUAACAGGACCUGGCCCUCAUAUCCCGGCUGGCUGCAGAGCAGGGGGCUGGCGGCUGGCCUGGCGUCUCUUGGAUGGAAAUGCUGAAGAGUCCUCGGCUGAUCUGAGAAACCUGGCCUGGGAUGGACCCGAGGAUCCACAUGCUUCCUCCCAGGGGCUGCGGCCAGGGUCAAGGUCAGGACAGUGCCACCUCCCCAGCACCGCUGUCCGCUGUCCGGCCUUUUCUGAGCACUCGCCAUGCGACAGCCUUCCCCUUUCAUGCCAGAUGACCACCCUUGUCCCUUACAGAGGGCAGUGCUCUUCACCCCACUCUCGGCCACUCAGGCACUGUUGUGACCGUCAACUGCCAUCGCGGGGCACAAGCAGCCAGACGGUCCGUAAACAACCGGGCAUGGCUGUGUUCCAAUUAAACUUUAUUUACAAAUGUCACAUCAUUUUCACGUGUCAUGAAAUGUUUCGAUUUUUUCUCACUAUUAAAAAAAUAUAAAAAUCCAUGUUAUCUCCCCGGCUGCGUAAGGGCCGGUGGCCAGCCUGUCACCUGUGGUCGCGGGUGAGAACCGAGGAUGCUUUCGCCACGCCGUCUGAGACGGGCCCAGUCAGUCCUCCUUGGGGCCCCCACUUCAAACGUGGUGUAUGCUCGACAGAUGAAGGGAGCAGACAAAUGAGGGAGCUGACUAACCUGCUAUCUAACCAACUCACCAGUUAACCGAGCCUUUAGCUCUUGGGUUCGGAGUUACCCCUUCCCAUCUCUGGGCUUCUUUAGACCUGACUGACUCCUUGCCCUCUGACCUGUCUCAUUGACUCUUGCCCAACCCCCACCCUCCUGAUCUCUGGCCAGGCCCUCAUCAACCCCCAAGCAGCCCAAGGCGGUGAGAACCUCCAGAGAAACCCACGAGAAGCUGCCCUCGGGCACUCAUUACUGCUAGGCUGAGGGCGUGGCCUGGCAGGAGAUCGGGGCGUGGCCUCAGGGUCGUGGUGUGGGGGCUUUGAGGCUUGGGGGGCUGGCUGUACCUUAGGGCAGUGGGAAGAUUGUCAGGGCAACCAGAGGGCACAUUCCAGGCGUCAGAAUGUUCUAGACAAAGGUGCAGAGGUAGGAGCUGCCAGAGUGUGGGACCGCAGGAAAUCCAGGCGACUAGACAGAAGGGGCUCUUCUCUGUCCCCGCUGACAGAAGCCAGGGGGGAGCAAAGGAGGUGAGUCUGAGUCCGAACCCUAGCCUUAACCCACUCAGCAGGGCCUGCCUGGAUGGUGCGAGUAAACCCGUGGGCCCCAGGAGGCCCCAACGUGCCUUGUAGAGGCCUGCCCCCACGUCUGAUUUGUGGCCUUCCCUCUCAGUCAGUCACUCACCCCACAAGCAUUGGGGGACCACCAGUGACCUGCCUGUCAGACCCCAUGCAGGCUGUGGAUGACAUGGAUGUGGUUCCCGCCUCUGGGAACUAACAGGGAAGCAGAAUGAUGGCUGUGCCCUCGAGGCCAAGAGCAGGGCCAU
ensembl:lncRNA